AGGUAAAUUUAUUCUACUCUACAAGAAAAAUACUAAUGUUUGUAAAAUAUUUUUUGCACUUUCAAAUGCCUCCGAUUUGAAUUAGUGGGAUACACGUUGAAGGGGACAUAAAAAUGUUUCAACCGGAGCAUCGCCGGAAUUUGACUGGAUACCCGAUGCCUUCCUGUGCAAUAGCAGCAGCAUCUUUGCCCAUUCCUACAAGAUCGUGUCCUGCUAAUCUAAGAACAUUUUGCAGCCACAUAGUAGGACCGGGCACUCCAUUUUUGGGGGACAUCCCCGAGGGCCUUGCAAUAGGACAUCGGGUGGAGGUCAAGGGAAAAGUAAAAGUACUGCCGCACUCACGGUGCGGCCACAACCUCCGAUAAUUUUGCACAUAAAUCCAAGAUUUAAGGAGGCACAUAUCAUAGUACGAAAUGCAUUGCUCAAAGGUUUGUGGGGCAACGAAGAAAGAAGUGGAGGGUGUCCCUUGAAGCCAGGUCAGCCCUUUCAUUUGGUGAUACGCUGCGAGUCGAAGCAAUUUAAUAUUGCAAUCAAUGGAAUUGCUUUUGCGACUUUUAAAUACAGGCAAUUUUAGUGGAAGGUGAUGUCAAAGUAUCAGACAUUCGGUGACUAAACGCUGUGCUCUCAGUUAGUGUUUUAAUUUUUCUACAAAGAAAGAACUGAUCCGGCCAUAUGUUGAUUAAUUUUAUGUCAACAAGAAAAUUGUCCAAUAUUCUUCAUUAACAGGCAACACUUAAAUUUCUCAUGAGAAAACGAAAAUGUGUCCCUUUACUAAUUAAAGCAAUUAAAGGUGAUUUAAAUUGAUAUAACAGUUUUUAUCUGUCUCUCUCAAUGCUGUAUAUUUAAAAAAUAGUUUGCCACAUGAUAAAACCACAGCAAAUUGUUAGCACAAACAUCAGCAUAUCACUGGCUGAACUCUGAAAUAAAUUAUUUGGAUUGUUAUUUCGAAAUGACUGUAGUCCACUCCACUCUGCUCACACAGCAUAUCAACAGACCAUAUAAGAAAUCUGAACAAAAAUAGUUUUACAUAAAAUCUUGUUCCCUGCACAUAAAGUUUUAUUUAUGAUGGGCUGUAGGUAAUUACUUCUGUAUAAGAAAAGUAAGUCUAAACUAUAAAAAAAAAUGUAUUUCUUGCUCAGAAGAAAGUAGUGUCAUGAAUAAUGCCCGUAUUAUUGUCUUUAAAAACAAAGGAUUGCUGCGAUUACUGCACAAUAUAAAAUCUUUCAAAUUAAGAUUUGGAUGGUAAAAAGAGGUGAUCAAUUAAGAUUUGUAUUAAAUAGUUAUAUAAACUUAACUGCACAAUAUUUUCA